UUUGUUUGGCAAUGAAUGUAUAAGUUCAACAUGUGAUGAAGAAUGUAGCCAAAUGCAAUAAUAUUUGUGAAAUGCAGAAUCCCGUGAAUCAAUUCAUGUUUGAAUGUGUCUGGCAUCUUU
rnacentral:rRNA from 1 species